CUCGUAGGCGGUUCGUCGCGUCCGGUGUGAAAGUCCAUCGCCUAACGGUGGAUCUGCGCCGGGUACGGGCGGGCUUGAGUGCGGUAGGGGAGACUGGAAUUCCCGGUGUAACGGUGGAAUGUGUAGAUAUCGGGAAGAACACCAAUGGCGAAGGCAGGUCUCUGGGCCGUUACUGACGCUGAGGAGCGAAAGCGUGGGGAGCGAACA
rnacentral:rRNA from 1 species